GACGAACGCUGGCGGCGGGCUUAACACAUGCAAGUCGAACGGAAAGGGCCUGCAGUUGGGGGGUGCGCGAGUGGCGAACGGGUGAGUAAGAAGUGAGUGACCAGCUGUUUGCUGGGGGAUAACUACAGGAAACUAGGGCUGAUACUGGAGAAGAGCGCCGGAUGAAUGGUGGGGGGUGGAAAGUUGCGGCGGUAGGGGAUAGACUCGCGGCUUAGCAGCGUGCUGGUGGGGGAGUGGCUUACCAAGGCUUGGACUGGUAGCCGGCCUGAGAGGGUGGCCGGCCUCAUUGGGCCUGAGGUACGGCCCAGACUGCUACGGGAGGCAGCAGUGGGGAGUAUUGCACAAUGGGCGGAAGCCUGUUGCAGCAACGCCGCGUGCGGGAUGACCGCCUUCCGGUUGUAAACCGCUUUCGCCUGUGACGAAGCGUGAGUGACGGUACUGGGUAAAGAAGCACCGGCUAACUCCGUG
rnacentral:rRNA from 1 species